UUCAUAUCAAGAGACCAUCUUUUUAAUUUCAGAAUACUAUUUUAUAUUAUUGCUCUCAAAACUUGUAAUGCUUGCGCUCAAAAUGUCUGCUCUCUUUCAAAUUCACUCUGUUCUCCUUCAAAUCUUUGUUUUUGCGCUCAGAUUUAACCUUCUUACACUGGUAUUGUCUUCUCAUGUGACAACUUUUUCUCUACACGGAUCAAAACUCCUCCCACAAGUCUGUCCCCUGCUCUCACGGAUCUUGUCUGCUCUCGCUCAAAACUUAGAAGUACAAUCUCCUAGCAACCGCUCAGCCAAUAGAAAGACUUGUGGGACUGGGCGGGAACAAACCUCUUUGGGGUGCGCUCGUUUUGCGCUCUGUGGAUUUUCCUGUGUGGCUGCCGCAUCUGCGCACUAACAGCCUGGCUAAUACCCGCUCUGAUCUGGAGCGAGAGUUUCACCUGCACCAGCAAAAUGGACCAGAACCAACAAGACGCUCAAACUGGUUCCAUCCGAGAAGUUACGAGAAACCUUAUGGAUUUACUGAAUGCUCAUCUACAAGCAGAGGGCCCGCAACAAACACCAACUGUGCCACAGCGCACAACACCAGCGACAACACCUUAACAGACUAUCCCUCGGUCUACAGUUCAUCAAGAAAUGUCAAGGAUUUCCAAGAGCCAGACAUCGACUGGGAUGUUGCUGCAGAGUACAGCCCAGAUGUGGACGGUGCUGCUGUGGUCCCGGAGUUUGACAGUCCCCUCAUUGAAGAGCAGCAUGCUGAACUGCAUCCAUGCUUUCGUUCUUUUUUAAACACAGAAACAGUUUUGUUUACCUGUUAGUAGCUACAGUUUCGCCGACGGCUGCCGGCUUCUUCAGGCUGACGCUGUUGGUGGCGCGUCACUUCCUUCUCCGUUUAUCUGCGGGCAGUUGUCUCUGCUGCCCGCAGAUAAACGGAGAAGGAAGUGACGCGCCACCAACAGCGUCAGCCUGAAGAAGCCGGCAGCCGUCGGCGAAACUGUAGCUACUAACAGGUAAACAAAACUGUUUCUGUGUUUAAAAAAAGAACGAAAGCAUGGAUUUAGAAAGACACAGCAAGAACACACCUAAGAUGCUGAACUGCAGUUGCUACUGGCACAAAAUUGGGAGCGUUCAAACACUAAGGAACUUUUAUCUAUUGUGCAGAGAAUAUGUUAAUGCUGCUUUGUCAGAUUAAUGUGUACUUGAAAUAAAAAAUCAAGAGAUCA